CUAGAGACGGCAUCCAAAUCUGCCUAUGGCAUUUCCCUGUAUGUUAGCUUUGACCCGAGAGGGUAGCGACUAUGUACUAGGACCGGUUUGCGCUGAGUUCCUGAUCAGGAAGCGCGGCCGGU
rnacentral:sRNA from 12 species